rnacentral:rRNA from 1 species
GCGUCUAGACGUAGGGAUCUUCCGCAAUGGGCGAAAGCCUGACGGAGCAACGCCGCGUGAGUGAUGAAGGUCUUCGGAUCGUAAAACUCUGUUAUCAGGGAAGAACAAAUGUGUAAGUAACUGUGCACAUCUUGACGGUACCUGAUCAGAAAGCCACGGCUAACUACGUGCCAGCAGCCGCGGUAAUACGUAGGUGGCAAGCGUUAUCCGGAAUUAUUGGGCGUAAAGCGCGCGUAGGCGGUUUUUUAAGUCUGAUGUGAAAGCCCACGGCUCAACCGUGGAGGGUCAUUGGAAACUGGAAAACUUGAGUGCAGAAGAGGAAAGUGGAAUUCCAUGUGUAGCGGUGAAAUGCGCAGAGAUAUGGAGGAACACCAGUGGCGAAGGCGACUUUCUGGUCUGUAACUGACGCUGAUGUGCGAAAGCGUGGGGAUCAAACAGGAUUAGAUACCCUGGUAGUCCACGCCGUAAACGAUGAGUGCUAAGUGUUAGGGGGUUUCCGCCCCUUAGUGCUGCAGCUAACGCAUUAAGCACUCCGCCUGGGGAGUACGACCGCAAGGUU